AGUCACGCGAGACAGGGGCGCCCCGAGGCGGGAAGCGGUGGAGGCCACCGCGGACGGUGGCUCUGGGAGACGCCCAAGACCGGAAAGGGGGAGGGGACCCAGGAAGGGCCCGCGAGGAGCUCAGGGCCCUGCAGAAGGCGGUACAAGGGGCCCCGACUGUGUCUGGGACCCAGGUGUGGCGAGACCUCCUGCUAGCAGAGUAGAUACGGACAAGACAGGCGAACCGCCUGAUGGCUUCCGGCGCUGUGGAACCAGCUGGCUCCCCACCAGCGGUUCAUGGACACACCCCAGAGGCAGGCAGGGAACUGAGACGCCGCCAGAGAGACCCGAAAUGUGUGGCUGCAAGAUUUUUAUGGUUGAAACCCCCUCUUUGAUAUAGACAAGGGGUUAGGCCAAGGCACCUGGUUAGAGGGGACCCCAGAUGACUGGAGGCCACGUGUGGAACUUGCUAUUCAUUCGUCCCCUAUGAAUGUGCAGCGGGUUUUGACCUCGGUGGACACAGGAGCUGGCUGCUCCCUGAUCUAUGGGAACCCUGAGCGGUUUGCUGGGCAGACAGCCCACAUACAUGGCUAUGGUGGGCAGACUGUCCCAGUUAAACAAGUGACUAUUCCACUGGGGCUGACCAUUUGACCCCCAGGCCUUACACUGUGAAUGUGUCCCCUGGAAAAGAAUAUAUCCUGGGUGUUCACAUUCUGCCUGCUUAACCCUAACCACCUCCAUGGGUGAGUUCUGCCUCCGAGUUAGGGCUGUGAAGCCGGUGGUGUGUGGCCCCGUCCCACCACAGUCUGCCCACGCCUGACCGUGUGGUACACACACAACAGGGUUGCUUGCCCAGGGGGCAUGAAGAAAUUUCACAAACCAUAUUGCAUCCGGCUCGCAGUCCAUUCAAGUCUCCUGUCUGGCGAGUUAAGAAACCAGAGGGAACUUGGAGAAUGACAGUGGACCACCGGUAGCUGAAUAAAGUGACUCCCGCAUGGCAUGCUGUGGUGCCAUCUAUGCUGGAUCUGAUGGAUUAGCUGACUUUGGUGCUUGGACAGCACCACUGUGUGGUGGACUGACGCCUUGUUCUCCACAGACUUAGCUAUGGACAGUCAAGGCCAGUUUGCCUUCACAUGGGAAGGAUGACAGUGGGCAUUUGUGGUGUUCCCACAGGUCACCUCCACAGCCCAACCAUAUGUCAUGGUUUGGCGACACAGGAUUUGGCCAGAUGGAAUCGGCCAUCCUCAGUGUUUCUGUUUCAUUAUAUUGAUGAUACAGUGUUAACCUCUGACUCCCUUACAGAUCUAGAAGAAGCUGCCGCCAGUCUUCAAACUUUUUGGAACAAUGGGGUUGGGCGGUGAACAACUCCAAAGUCCAGGCACCUGGCUUUUUGGUCAAAUUCUCGGCUGUUGUCUAAUCAGAUUGCUGCUGGACCAGCCUGACCUCAUGAUGUGGUAGAUCUAGCAAAACCAAGCUCAUCAUGGGAACUUCUAGACACAUGGUCAUAUCCCUUGGCAGGUAGUCCAUCUCUACGUAGGUCCAGUAGCAUGUCAGGAGCUAUUAAGAUGCAUAGUUAUGCUAUGUAAUUACAUGGUAUAUAAUUAUCUACAUUAGCAUAGCCUUUACAGAGAAACCACAGGACUAUAUUGUGAUUCUCCUGUUGGGUUUGCCAUAAACUCCACACGGUGUUUCUUCCAGCUGCAUAUUCCUCUAAUACCAUGUAGUCUAGAUUGUAUGGUUCCAAUGGUAGGGCUGCUUGCACUGUAGCCUGGACCUGAUGCAGAGCUCUUUGCCACCCUACACUUUGUCCAGGUGGCAGCCUUCUAUGUCACUUAGCAAUAUGUCUCUACAGUAUUCCUAACUACUAGAAUAUGCUGCUUCCAAAGCCCAAAGAGGCCUACGGAUUAUUGUGCUUUCUUUUUAUGGUGGGAAUGUGAGCUGCAAUAAUGUGUCCUUUAUUUAGACAUACCCCAAAUCACUGGGCCUCCUAAAAUUGUCAUUGAUGUGGCAGGUCCUUUAAUCUUCAGAGGGGUUUUCUCUCACUCUCGGGAAUGCAUGUGUCUCACCAAGACGUUCAACAUGCCACUUCCUACUCACAGUUUUAACUGAUAAAUACCAUGGACAAGUGUGGUGCUCUGAGGAAUGUCCGAACAACCCAGGUCUCUGGACUAUAUGAUGACAGAAGGUAGAACUGAUACAGAUUUUGGACAAGACCCCAGAUGUAUGCUGUUGUCCUCCUCAGUGAAUGUGAAUUGCUUCUGACAAAUUUCCCUCUAAGUGUUGCUUCAGCUAUUUUAAAUACAUAUUGAUUUGUAAGCUUUUCAUUUUCUUCAAUUUUAAAUAUGUUCUGAUUUUUAUUAUAAUUUCUUCUUGGUUCUAUAAAUUAUUUGGAAAACAGUUUUUAACUUCUAAGGUUUAUGGAUUUCUUUUGGAUAACUUUUUGGUAUUGAUUUCUAAUAGUGUUUCUAUUCUGUCACCAAUGUAAAAAUUUGUAAAUUGGCCUAAUAUCUGGUCAGUUUUCAUAAACAGUUCAAGUGUGCUUGAAAAGAAUAGUAAGUCUUUAAUUGUUGAUUUGUCUAAUUUUAUAUCCAUUUAGUCAAUUAUUAGGAAUAAAGUGUUAAAAUCUUUCA